rnacentral:lncRNA from 1 species
UGCAAUGACUGUGAGAAGAGAGGAACUGCUCCCUUUCACUGGCUUUACCACAAGUGCCCCUAUUGUGGUUCAUACAACACCAGGCUUCUAUGACGCAAUUCCAAACGGAACUGCUCCCUUUCACUGGCUUUACCACAAGUGCCCCAAUUGUGGUUCAUACAACACCAGGGUUCUAUGAUGCAAUUCCAAACGGAACUGCUCCCUUUCACUGGCUUUACCACAAGUGCCCCUAUUGCGGAGACUUCUAUGACGCAAUUCCAAACGGUACCAUGACUGUUUCAAAGCUAUUUUAUAUGUAAAUAAAAGCUCGUACUAG